rnacentral:rRNA from 1 species
UACGGGGGGAGCAAGCGUUGUUCGGAUUUACUGGGCGUAAAGGGCGCGUAGGCGGCCAGCACAAGUCAGUUGUGAAAUCUCCGAGCUUAACUCGGAAAGGUCAACUGAUACUGUGCGGCUAGAGUGCGGAAGGGGCAACUGGAAUUCUUGGUGUAGCGGUGAAAUGCGCAGAUAUCGGGAGGAACACCCGUAGCGAAGGCGGCACUCUGGGCCGGUACUGACGCUGAGGAGCGAAAGCGUGGGGAGCAAACAGG